GGUCUAGUGGCGGACGGGUUAGUAACGCGUGGGAACGUGCCUUUCACUACGGAAUAGUCCCGGGAAACUGGGUUUAAUACCGUAUACGCCCUUCGGGGGAAAGAAUUUCGGUGAAAGAUCGGCCCGCGUUAGAUUAGGUAGUUGGUGGGGUAAUGGCCUACCAAGCCUACGAUCUAUAGCUGGUUUUAGAGGAUGAUCAGCAACACUGGGACUGAGACACGGCCCAGACUCCUA
rnacentral:rRNA from 1 species